GAUGAACGCUGGCGGCGUGCCUAAUACAUGCAAGUCGAGCGAACGGACGAGAAGCUUGCUUCUCUGAUGAUAGCGGCGGACGGGUGAGUAACACGUGGAUAACCUACCUAUAAGACUGGGAUAACUUCGGGAAACCGGAGCUAAUACCGGAUGAUAUUUUGAACCGCAUGGUUCAAAAGUGAAAGACGGUCUUGCUGUCACUUAUAGAUGGAUCCGCGCUGCAUUAGCUAGUUGGUAAGGUAACGGCUUACCAAGGCAACGAUGCAUAGCCGACCUGAGAGGGUGAUCGGCCACACUGGAACUGAGACACGGUCCAGACUCCUACGGGAGGCAGCAGUAGGGAAUCUUCCGCAAUGGGCGAAAGCCUGACGGAGCGACGCCGCGUGAGUGAUGAAGGUCUUCGGAUCGUAAAACUCUGUUAUUAGGGAAGAACAUAUGUGUAAGUAACUGUGCACAUCUUGACGGUACCUAAUCAGAAAGCCACGGCUAACUACGUG
rnacentral:rRNA from 1 species